GACGAACGCUGGCGGCGUGCCUAAUACAUGCAAGUCGAACGCUUCUUUCCUCCCGAGUGCUUGCCCUCAAUUGGAAAGAGGAGUGGCGGACGGGUGAGUAACACGUGGGUAACCUACCCAUCAGAGGGGGAUAACACUUGGAAACAGGUGCUAAUACCGCAUAACAGUUUAUGCCGCAUGGCAUAAGAGUGAAAGGCGCUUUCGGGUGUCGCUGAUGGAUGGACCCGCGGUGCAUUAGCUAGUUGGUGAGGUAACGGCUCACCAAGGCCACGAUGCAUAGCCGACCUGAGAGGGUGAUCGGCCACACUGGGACUGAGACACGGCCCAGACUCCUACGGGAGGCAGCAGUAGGGAAUCUUCGGCAAUGGACGAAAGUCUGACCGAGCAACGCCGCGUGAGUGAAGAAGGUUUUCGGAUCGUAAAACUCUGUUGUUAGAGAAGAACAAGGACGUUAGUAACUGAACGUCCCCUGACGGUAUCUAAACAGAAAGCCACGGCUAACUACGUG
rnacentral:rRNA from 1 species